UACGUAGGGGGCAAGCGUUAUCCGGAAUCAUUGGGCGUAAAGCGCGUGUAGGCGGUUCUGUAAGUCCGCUCUGAAAGCCCAGGGCUCAACCCUGGGAGGCGGGUGGAUACUACAGAACUGGAGUACGGAAGAGGAGGAUUGGAAUUCCUGGUGUAGCGGUGAAAUGCGCAGAUAUCAGGAGGAACACCAACAGCGAAGGCAGAUCUCUGGGACGUUACUGACGCUGAGACGCGAAAGCGUGGGAGCAAACAGG
rnacentral:rRNA from 1 species